UACGGAGGGUGCAAGCGUUAUCCGGAUUCACUGGGUUUAAAGGGUGCGUAGGCGGAAUUGUAAGUCCGUGGUGAAAUCUCCAAGCUUAACUUGGAAACUGCCAUGGAUACUAUAGUUCUUGAAUGUUGUGGAGGUUUGCGGAAUAUGUCAUGUAGCGGUGAAAUGCUUAGAUAUGACAUAGAACACCGAUUGCGAAGGCAGCAGGCUACACAAAUAUUGACGCUGAGGCACGAAAGCAUGGGUAGCGAAC
rnacentral:rRNA from 1 species